GAUGAACGCUAGCGGCAGGCCUAACACAUGCAAGUCGAACGGUAACAGAUCUUUCGGGAUGCUGACGAGUGGCGCACGGGUGCGUAACGCGUAUGCAACCUACCUUUAACUGGAGGAUAGCCCAUGGAAACGUGGAUUAAUACUCCAUAAUAUAAUUUCUUCGCAUGUUGAGAUUAUUAAAACUUCGGUGGUUAAAGAUGGGCAUGCGUCCUAUUAGCUAGUUGGUGAGGUAACGGCUCACCAAGGCAACGAUAGGUAGGGGGCCUGAGAGGGUAAUCCCCCACACUGGUACUGAGACACGGACCAGACUCCUACGGGAGGCAGCAGUGAGGAAUAUUGGUCAAUGGACGAAAGUCUGAACCAGCCAUGCCGCGUGCAGGAAGACGGCCCUAUGGGUUGUAAACUGCUUUUAUAUGGGAAGAAACUUUUCUACGUGUAGAAAACUGACGGUACCAUACGAAUAAGGACCGGCUAACUCCG
rnacentral:rRNA from 1 species